CUAGGCUUAUGGAAGAAGAGUAUAAUUCCUGUUAAAAUGCUCUUCGCACUGGAGCUCCUACUUUGACAUCCUUGCAAUUGGCUCAGUGACGUGUUUUAUUUCCCAAAACCGAGCUGCGAGCUCGUCUAAUGAAAUGCCACCACGCUCUUCAGAUAAUCGAUUUAUUGCGAUGAAUGACAAAUGUUUUGGGGCCUGCUGCCCACCUCCAGACAAAAUCCAACCUAGAUGUGUUUUUGUAACAAGUUAGCUCCUUUGCGGCACAAAGAAGAAGGGAUCAGCGAGCUGUACGUUCGACGGGAUAUUCCACGAGUCAGUGGGAAGUGCGUGAAUAGGUUGUUGAUCAGUUAUUCUCGAAGUUACGAUGAAAGACUUUACGACGAGUUUGACUGGGUAUCCUUUUGUUGAAAAGCUAUUAUCUCCAUUGCCGGUGCCAACCGGUCCCACACAAACAUGUCGCGCUGUACUAGAUUUCGGAUCACAGGUUUGUCUUAUCGCAAGAAAUAUGGCAAAACUGCUAUUCCUUCGGGAAAUGCCAUUACCGAUUGAAAUAUCUGGAAUCGGAGGAAAAAUAAAAACAGAAACUAGUUCAAUGCUUGCUCUCGUCAUGUACAUCUGGUUUUGAAACUUUAGUGGAGCUUACAGCCAAAAUGCCCAAAGAAGUAUGGCGGUAGUUCCUGGUAGAGUUGGACCCCUAGAACACAUAAAAAGAUCAAAAAAAUUUUUAGUAGAUAAUUUUGUUUUUUUUUAAACAUUUUUUAUGAAAAUUAUGGUAUUUCCCUGUUUUUAAUUAUAUAUCGAGUCGCGCUAAACCAAUUUAGAUGAUAUGUGUGUUACGUGGACAUAUUAGUGCUCGAGGGAGAGGCGUCUGACUUCCGUCACCAUUUUUGCCGGCAUAAGCUACGUUUUUGGGUCGUGGGAUCUUGGAAAGCCUCUCUCCUCUCCAACAUAACGAGAAUA